rnacentral:lncRNA from 1 species
GGAGUUUGUGAACUGAUACUUUAUAAACUAGAAGAAAAACUAAAGUCCAGCUGGUUGAAAACCAGAAGUAAUUGAUAUUUUUUAUAUUGCUUUAGGGAGAGGAUUUUUAGGAGUGUAUAAUCCUGACCCACAGCUGUUUCAUAACUUCAUCAUGCUGAACAAGGCUUCAUCACUUCACAAAAACAGGUCUUCCUCCCCAACAGCUCCAGUUAAUUCUGACCAUGAAGAACCCAGAUCUUCCCUCAUACAAAGCCUGAGACCUUCAACCUCCACAUCAAAAAUCAUAUUUAGUGGCAUCUUAAAUCCUACCACAUGCAUCAGUGCUAACGUUACCAUUGUGUUCAUCGUCUCCAAGGAGCAUUACCCAGUUUAUGAUGUGAACAACUUGUACAACACAAACACCGACUUUGACUGGGGGGACUUUCGAAGACUUGCAGAGGAAAUAAGAGCUGUUUCCCAAACCUUCCUCUUCUUCCUUUUCCAGUUCCAGCACCCUGGUACCUAUGUGUUACAGCUGAGCAGCAAUCAGCACAAAAAAAUGGUUUGUAUUGAGGAAUGCUGUCUUUGCAUUUACAAUAUCCUUCUUAGCAAAGCAUUUAAAUGCUCCAAAUUAUGGUUUGGAAUUGAAAGGAAAUAGUAAAUCUAUCACUGAGCAUCUUUUCAUUUUUACAUGCCAUACUGCAGAGGUGAGUACAGCAACAAAUGCAGGUGUUUUUGUGCACAAGCAUUACAUAUGAGUGCAAAAUGGUACAACUGCUGCAAAAGUUUGACUCAGUGUCAUAGCCAAAAUAACACUUCAGAUUUAAAUCACUAUGUAUACUUAAAUAAUUUGCAGUGACAGUGACUGGCAUUUCUACUUAUGUUCACUAAGUACAUUAGGGUCAUGCCACUUGGAGGACAAUGUUAUGAAGAGGGGCCAUUCUUCCCCACAACUCCCAGAUAUGCUGUGCAGGUGGGCAUUGCCAGAAAGCAAGACCUCCUACUGAAACCUGACUGGACAACCAUUAUUGGAGUGAUCACGGGACUUCUCACAUUGCUUAUUACCUGUGUGGUGUUGACAGUAAGUAACAGUUACAUUAAGUCUCUUCUUGAAAGAUUUUGUGCAAUGAACCCACUAGCC